GACAGGCUGGUCUGUGGAGGUAGAGAAGUAGAGAGAACAUCUCCUUAAAGCAGUGAGUAUGACUGGCUGGUCUGAGGUGGUAGAGAAGGAGAGAGAACAUCUCCUUAAAGCAGUGAGUAUGACUGGCUGGUCUGAGGUGGUAGAGAAGGAGAGAGAACAUCUCCUUAAAGCAGUGAGUAUGACAGGCUGGUCUGAGGUGG